GAUUGAACGCUGGCGGCAUGCCUAACACAUGCAAGUCGAACGGCAGCACAGUAUGUAGCAAUACAUAUGGGUGGCGAGUGGCGGACGGGUGCGUAACAUAUAGGAAUCUGCCCUGAAGUGGGGGACAACCCGGGGAAACCCGGGCUAAUACCGCAUAAUACUCUACGGAGGAAAUCUGGCACGCAAGUGCUGGAACUUUAGGAGGAGCCUAUAUCCGAUUAGCUAGUUGGUAGGGUAAAAGCCUACCAAGGCGAUGAUCGGUAACUGGUCUGAGAGGAUGGCCAGUCACACUGGGACUGAGACACGGCCCAGACUCCUACGGGAGGCAGCAGUGGGGAAUAUUGGACAAUGGGGGAAACCCUGAUCCAGCAAUGCCGCGUGGGUGAAGAAGGCCUUCGGGUUGUAAAGCCCUUUAGGCGGGGAAGAAGGUAGUAGGGUGAUAAGCCUUAUUGCUUGACGGUACCCGCAGAAUAAGCACCGGCUAACUCUGUGCCAGCAGCCGCGGUAAUACAGAGGGUGCAAGCGUUAAUCGGAUUUACUGGGCGUAAAGGGCGCGUAGGUGGUAAAGCAAGUAAGAUGUGAAAGCCCUGGGCUUAACCUGGGAAGUGCAUCUUAAACUGUUUAACUAGAGUAUGGUAGAGGGUAGUGGAAUUUCCGGUGUAGCGGUGAAAUGCGUAGAUAUCGGAAGGAACGCCAGUGGUGAAGACGACUACCUGGACCAAUACUGACACUGAGGCGCGAAAGCGUGGGGAUCAAACAGGAUUAGAUACCCUGGUAGUCCACGCUGUAAACGAUGAGGACUGGAUGUCGGGCAGCUUGGCUGUUCGGUAUCGAAGCUAACGCGAUAAGUUCUCCGCCUGGGAAGUACGGUCGCAAGAUUAA
rnacentral:rRNA from 1 species